CUUUAUGGCUAUAUCAUCACGAAGUGCCUGAUCUUAUCUGAUCUCUGAAGCUAAGUGGGUGUCCGGCCUGGUUUGUCCUUGGGUGGGAUAAAAGGACUGGCUAGAUUCCAAGGA
rnacentral:rRNA from 1 species